UGAUGACUGUUCCUCCUAUUGCUUUGAGGCCUGGCAGUGGGAUUUUAGGUCAUCAUAAAUUAAAAUUUGAUUUUCUUCACUCAGAGAAUAUUAGGAUAAUGGAAUUAUCUGUCUAUUCUCUGAAAUUUGCGGAAUCAAACAAUU
ensembl:snoRNA SNORA79 small nucleolar RNA, H/ACA box 79